GACGAACGCUGGCGGCGUGCUUAACACAUGCAAGUCGAACGGAAAGGCCCUGCUUUUGUGGGGUGCUCGAGCGGCGAACGGGUGAGUAACACGUGAGUAACCUGCCCUUGACGUUGGGAUAACUUCAGGAAACUGGGGCUAAUACCGGAUAGGAGCUCCUGCUGCAUGGUGGGGGUUGGAAUGUUUCGGCGGUUGGGGAUGGACUCGCGGCUUAUCGGCUUGUUGGUGGGGUAGUGGCUUACCAAGGCUUUGACGGGUAGCCGGCCUGAGAGGGUGACCGGCACCAUUGGGACUAAGAUACGGCCCAGUCGCCAACGGGAGGCAGCAGGGGAGAAUAUUACACAAUGCGCGCAAGCCUGAUGCAGCAACGUCGCGAGCGGAAUGACGCCCUUCGCGUUGUAAACCGCUUUCUCCUUUGACGAAGCGUGUGUGACGGUAAUGAGUAAAGAAGCACCGGCUAACUACGUG
rnacentral:rRNA from 1 species